rnacentral:tRNA from 1 species
GCCAGCAUGGUGUAGUGGUUUGAGUGUUGGACUACCACUCUAGAGACCUGGGUUUGACUCUCCAUUCUGCCA